rnacentral:rRNA from 1 species
CCGUAGGCAAGAGGAAAACAAUCCAGAACGCCAGAUAAGGACCCAAAAGCUUAGUUACGUGGUAAACGAUGGAGGAAGGCAUAGACAGCUAGGAGGUUGGCUUAGACGCAGCCAACCUUUAAAGAGAGCGGAAUAGCUCACUAGUCGAGUCGGCCUGCGCGGAAGAUGUGACGGGGCUAAAACUAUGUGCCGGAGCUGCGGAUGUAUUGAUUGUAUACGUGGUAGGGG